AUCUAUGGUCACGCCACCCUGAAUGCGCCCGAUCUCAUCUGAUCCCAGAAGUUAAUCAAGGUCGGACCUGGUUAGACCACCUAGGAAUAACAGGAGCUGUAUGCG
rnacentral:rRNA from 1 species